rnacentral:rRNA from 1 species
AGAGCGAACGCUGGCGGCAGGCCUAACACAUGCAAGUCGCACGAGAAAGGGUAGCAAUACCUGAGUAAAGUGGCGCACGGGUGAGUAACACGUGACUAAUCUACCCUCGAGUGGGGAAUAACUGAGAGAAAUCUCAGCUAAUACCGCAUAACACUUACGAGUCAAAGCAGAAAUGCGCUUGGGGAGGAGGUCGCGGCCGAUUAGCUAGUUGGCGGGUAAUGGCCCACCAAGGCGAUGAUCGGU